GGGGUUGUGACUCAGUGGUAGAGCGCUUGCCUAGCAUGCACGAGGCACUGGGUUCGAUCCUCAGCACCACA
rnacentral:tRNA from 1 species